rnacentral:rRNA from 1 species
AGUGAACGCUGGCGGUAGGCCUAACACAUGCAAGUCGAACGGCAGCACAGUAAGAGCUUGCUCUUACGGGUGGCGAGUGGCGGACGGGUGAGGAAUACAUCGGAAUCUACUUUUUCGUGGGGGAUAACGUAGGGAAACUUACGCUAAUACCGCAUACGACCUACGGGUGAAAGCAGGGGAUCUUCGGACCUUGCGCGAUUGAAUGAGCCGAUGUCGGAUUAGCUAGUUGGCGGGGUAAAGGCCCACCAAGGCGACGAUCCGUAGCUGGGCUGAGAGGAUGAUCAGCCACACAGAAGCUGAGACACGGUCCCGACUCCUACGGGAGGCAGCAGUGGGGAAGAUUGGACAAUGGGCGCAAGCCUGAUCCAGCCAUACCGCGUGGGUGAAGAAGGCCUUCGGGUUGGAAAGCCCUUUUGUUGGGAAAGAAAAGCAGCAGGUUAAUACCCCGCUGUUCGGACGGUACCCAAAGAAUAAGCACCGGCUAACUUCGU